rnacentral:rRNA from 1 species
UACAGAGGUUGCAAGCGUUAAUCGGAAUUACUGGGCGUAAAGCGCGCGUAGGUGGCAACUUAAGUCGGGUGUGAAAUCCCUGGGCUCAACCUAGGAAUUGCAUUCGAUACUGGGCUGCUUGGGUUUGGUAGAGGAGAGUGGAAUUCCCGGUGUAGCGGUGAAAUGCGUAGAUAUCGGGAGGAACAUCAGUGGCGAAGGCGGCUCUCUGGACUAAAACUGACACUGAGGCGCGACAGCGUGGGGAUCAAACAGGAUUAGAUACCCGAGUAGU